GCGGAAGUAAUGACUGAUGGGGCGCCGAUUCAAACCGGGGAGGACGGUCGGCGAGCCAAGGACCGGCGACCGAAGCCUCCGUCGGCCGGCCUCCUCCACCAAAUAAAUAGGCCUUCUGCGAGAGAAGAUGGGGAGGAGCAAGCUCAUCAGAGGACUCCUCCCGUUGCUUCUGUCGUCGCCUGCGCCCAUGGACGUCGCCGUCCCGUCCCGUGACGAUCCAGCCCCUCGCUGGUCGCAGCCAAUACCUUGUUACGUCAAUCCAUGAGAAUUGGUUCUGCGCAAGAUGCAUCAGCGCAUCAAAUUCUGCUGGUGAAGGGGCUUUUGUCAUGCAGACGACGGCUUUCAUCUUGGUGGCACUGUAUGAUGGUUCCAUUGGAGCGGCAUCGGGUGCUGUAAUGGCUGCUGAUCAAUUUGCAUGGCAGUUAAAUCGAAGAAACCUUUGACCUUGCAGUGAAGUUGAAAUUGUAUGGUUCGUCCGCAGACUUUUUCCCUACCUGUCUGAGCCAAAUACUGGCAGAUGGAGAUCCUGAUAGUCCAAUGAAUUCAUUCCGCAAAUCUGUCAUUGAUGGCAAGGAGAUCAUCUUUCUUGCUAACGUGCAAGUUCGUCACUGCUGUGCUCAGAAUGUUUGAACAAGACAAACUCUAGGAGGGUCGGCAGUUUUUGGCAAAAUUUUCAAGCAACUAGUAUUCACAGGCGCUGGACUUUGAUUAGGAUGAAUUAGGUAGAGGACUCUCUGAGUUGAAAAUCAUGUGAGAUCGUUGGUCUGCUAUUUGCUAUUUGGCCGUGCUGGUAUUGGGUGAAGGUCUUGCUGGUGUCUGCAUUGUGAUUUUCCUCUGUACAAAGAUCGUUAUAUAAGUUUGUUCAGCCGGCUUAUUAAUGUCAUCAUUUUUAUAACUGGAUUCAUGCCGAUAAUAGAAAUUAGAAGAGGGAUGAAACUGUGCUUGGAUUAAUUACA